rnacentral:rRNA from 1 species
CGCCUGGGGAGUACGGCCGCAAGGUUAAAACUCAAAUGAAUUGACGGGGGCCCGCACAAGCGGUGGAGCAUGUGGUUUAAUUCGACGCAACGCGAAGAACCUUACCUGGCCUUGACACCCAGAGAACUUUCCAGAGAUGGAUUGGUGCCUUCGGGAACUCUGAGACAGGUGCUGCAUGGCCGUCGUCAGCUCGUGUCGUGAGAUGUUGGGUUAAGUCCCGAAACGAGCGCAACCCCUAUCCCUGGUUGCUAGCAGGUAAUGCUGAGAACUCCAGGGAGACUGCCGGUGACAAACCGGAGGAAGGUGGGGAUGACGUCAGGUCAUCAUGGCCCUUACGGCCAGGGCUACACACGUGCUACAAUGGCGCGUACAGAGGGCUGCCAACUCGCGAGAGUGAGCCAAUCCCUUAAAACGCGUCGUAGUCCGGAUCGGAGUCUGCAACUCGACUCCGUGAAGUCGGAAUCGCUAGUAAUCGCGAAUCAGAAUGUCGCGGUGAAUACGUUCCCGGGCCUUGUACACACCGCCCGUCACACCAUGGGAGUGGAUUGCACCAGAAGUAGUUAGUCUAACCUUCGGGAGGACGAUUACCACGGUGUGGUUCAUGACUGGGGUGAAGUCGUAACAAGGUAACCGUA